GCCAGACUCCUACGGGAGGCAGCAGUAGGGAAUAUUGCACAAUGGGGGAAACCCUGAUGCAGCGACGCCGCGUGGAGGAAGAAGGUCUUCGGAUUGUAAACUCCUGUCCUUGGGGACGAUAAUGACGGUACCCAAGGAGGAAGCACCGGCUAACUACGUGCCAGCAGCCGCGGUAAUACGUAGGUGGCAAGCGUUGUCCGGAUUUACUGGGUGUAAAGGGCGUGCAGCCGGGCCGACAAGUCAGAUGUGAAAUCCGCGGGCUUAACCCGCGAACUGCAUUUGAAACUAUUGGUCUUGAGUACCGGAGAGGUCAUCGGAAUUCCUUGUGUAGCGGUGAAAUGCGUAGAUAUAAGGAAGAACACCAGCGGCGAAGGCGGAUGACUGGACGGCAACUGACGGUGAGGCGCGAAAGCGUGGGGAGCAAACAGGAUUAGAUACCCGAGUA
rnacentral:rRNA from 1 species